rnacentral:rRNA from 1 species
AUUGAACGCUGGCGGCAUGCCUUACACAUGCAAGUCGAACGGUAACGGGCCUUCGGGUGCCGACGAGUGGCGAACGGGUGAGUAAUACAUCGGAACGUGCCCGAUCGUGGGGGAUAACGAGGCGAAAGCUUUGCUAAUCCCGCAUACGAUCUACGGAUGAAAGCAGGGGACCGCAAGGCCUUGCGCGGACGGAGCGGCCGAUGGCAGAUUAGGUAGUUGGUGGGAUAAAAGCUUACCAAGCCGACGAUCUGUAGCUGGUCUGAGAGGAUGAUCAGCCACACUGGGACUGAGACACGGCCCAGACUCCUACGGGAGGCAGCAGUGGGGAAUUUUGGACAAUGGGCGCAAGCCUGAUCCAGCCAUGCCGCGUGCAGGAUGAAGGCCUUCGGGUUGUAAACUGCUUUUGUACGGAACGAAAAGCCUUCUUUUAAUACAGGAGGGUCAUGACGGUACCGUAAGAAUAAGCACCGGCUAACUACGUG